rnacentral:lncRNA from 1 species
CCUCUCUGUAGCUGACGGUGCGCUAGGACGAACAUGUUUGAGGCAUUGUAGUUUUUUCUUACAUGAGAUUCUGCCACACAGAGUCGUCGGUACCGUCGUCAUUUAAGAGAAAAACUGUCCUUUGUCCCAUCUUCACAUGGCAAACUGCAAUGGAACGUUGACCUUUAACUGUUUGUCUUGGGAUGUUAAGGUGGUCUUUGUGGUAUUAGCCGGAAUGUUGGGCAUCUCUCUGUUUUUGAACAUCUAUUGCUGUACAUUGAGAUGCUCCUCAGGAAAAAAGGCAUGUCGGCGAAAAACAAAAAAAAGCCAAAGUUCAAGGCAAAUGGCAGAUAAUCCUAUUUAUGGAAACGUAAGCAGUGCAAGACAGGUUUUGUACACGGAAGUUGACGCUUCCCACCCAUUGCACAAGGAUCGACACAGAGUCAAUCUGAACGCACAGGAUUGCUAUGCCAACCUGACCCAGACUCCUCACCUGCAGUCCGGCCUCAGUUCUUCUCAAACAGAGGCCACCCAGUACUCAGAUAUAGUGGAUGUAGUAGAGGUGGAGAGGGAGAAGGUAGAGGAGUCCAUCACAGAUGAUGUUUCCAUUAUGUCUGAUCUUUAUGCUUCGGUGCAGACUCAGCGAACCAAAGCCAUCCUCUCAGCAGAUGGUGAGGAAAACUACGCCAAUCAUCUCUAGCAUGUCAGGCUGAAGACUAGAGAGCACCUUUUCAGCAGCUUCACCUUUCGCCACUAGAUGAUGUCCUUUUACACAGUAUAGAUAAAUAGAAUAAAAUAGUACAAAUGAAAAUGAAACCA